AGGAAAAGAAAUCAACCGAGAUUCCCCCAGUAGCGGCGAGCGAACGGGGAGGAGCCCAGAGCCUGAAUCAGUGUGUGUGUUAGUGGAAGCGUCUGGAAAGGCGCGCGAUACAGGGUGACAGCCCCGUACACAAAAAUGCACAUAUUGUGAGCUCGAUGAGUAGGGCGGGACACGUGGUAUCCUGUCUGAAUAUGGGGGGACCAUCCUCCAAGGCUAAAUACUCCUGACUGACCGAUAGUGAACCAGUACCGUGAGGGAAAGGCGAAAAGAACCCCGGCGAGGGGAGUGAAAAAGAACCUGAAACCGUGUACGUACAAGCAGUGGGAGCCUCUUAAUGGGGUGACUGCGUACCUUUUGUAUAAUGGGUCAGCGACUUAUAUUCUGUAGCAAGGUUAACCGAAUAGGGGAGCCGAAGGGAAACCGAGUCUUAACUGGGCGUUAAGUUGCAGGGUAUAGACCCGAAACCCGGUGAUCUAGCCAUGGGCAGGUUGAAGGUUGGGUAACACUAACUGGAGGACCGAACCGACUAAUGUUGAAAAAUUAGCGGAUGACUUGUGGCUGGGGGUGAAAGGCCAAUCAAACCGGGAGAUAGCUGGUUCUCCCCGAAAGCUAUUUAGGUAGCGCCUCGUGAAUUCAUCUCCGGGGGUAGAGCACUGUUUCGGCAAGGGGGUCAUCCCGACUUACCAACCCGAUGCAAACUGCGAAUACCGGAGAAUGUUAUCACGGGAGACACACGGCGGGUGCUAACGUCCGUCGUGAAGAGGGAAACAACCCAGACCGCCAGCUAAGGUCCCAAAGUCAUGGUUAAGUGGGAAACGAUGUGGGAAGGCCCAGACAGCCAGGAUGUUGGCUUAGAAGCAGCCAUCAUUUAAAGAAAGCGUAAUAGCUCACUGGUCGAGUCGGCCUGCGCGGAAGAUGUAACGGGGCUAAACCAUGCACCGAAGCUGCGGCAGCGACACUAUGUGUUGUUGGGUAGGGGAGCGUUCUGUAAGCCUGUGAAGGUGGCCUGUGAGGGUUGCUGGAGGUAUCAGAAGUGCGAAUGCUGACAUAAGUAACGAUAAAGCGGGUGAAAAGCCCGCUCGCCGGAAGACCAAGGGUUCCUGUCCAACGUUAAUCGGGGCAGGGUGAGUCGACCCCUAAGGCGAGGCCGAAAGGCGUAGUCGAUGGGAAACAGGUUAAUAUUCCUGUACUUGGUGUUACUGCGAAGGGGGGACGGAGAAGGCUAUGUUGGCCGGGCGACGGUUGUCCCGGUUUAAGCGUGUAGGCUGGUUUUCCAGGCAAAUCCGGAAAACCAAGGCUGAGGCGUGAUGACGAGGCACUACGGUGCUGAAGCGACAAAUGCCCUGCUUCCAGGAAAAGCCUCUAAGCAUCAGGUAACAUCAAAUCGUACCCCAAACCGACACAGGUGGUCAGGUAGAGAAUACCAAGGCGCUUGAGAGAACUCGGGUGAAGGAACUAGGCAAAAUGGUGCCGUAACUUCGGGAGAAGGCACGCUGAUAUGUAGGUGAAGCGACUUGCUCGUGGAGCUGAAAUCAGUCGAAGAUACCAGCUGGCUGCAACUGUUUAUUAAAAACACAGCACUGUGCAAACACGAAAGUGGACGUAUACGGUGUGACGCCUGCCCGGUGCCGGAAGGUUAAUUGAUGGGGUUAGCGGUAACGCGAAGCUCUUGAUCGAAGCCCCGGUAAACGGCGGCCGUAACUAUAACGGUCCUAAGGUAGCGAAAUUCCUUGUCGGGUAAGUUCCGACCUGCACGAAUGGCGUAAUGAUGGCCAGGCUGUCUCCACCCGAGACUCAGUGAAAUUGAACUCGCUGUGAAGAUGCAGUGUACCCGCGGCAAGACGGAAAGACCCCGUGAACCUUUACUAUAGCUUGACACUGAACAUUGAGCCUUGAUGUGUAGGAUAGGUGGGAGGCUUUGAAGUGUGGACGCCAGUCUGCAUGGAGCCGACCUUGAAAUACCACCCUUUAAUGUUUGAUGUUCUAACGUUGGCCCGUAAUCCGGGUUGCGGACAGUGUCUGGUGGGUAGUUUGACUGGGGCGGUCUCCUCCUAAAGAGUAACGGAGGAGCACGAAGGUUGGCUAAUCCUGGUCGGACAUCAGGAGGUUAGUGCAAUGGCAUAAGCCAGCUUGACUGCGAGCGUGACGGCGCGAGCAGGUGCGAAAGCAGGUCAUAGUGAUCCGGUGGUUCUGAAUGGAAGGGCCAUCGCUCAACGGAUAAAAGGUACUCCGGGGAUAACAGGCUGAUACCGCCCAAGAGUUCAUAUCGACGGCGGUGUUUGGCACCUCGAUGUCGGCUCAUCACAUCCUGGGGCUGAAGUAGGUCCCAAGGGUAUGGCUGUUCGCCAUUUAAAGUGGUACGCGAGCUGGGUUUAGAACGUCGUGAGACAGUUCGGUCCCUAUCUGCCGUGGGCGCUGGAGAACUGAGGGGGGCUGCUCCUAGUACGAGAGGACCGGAGUGGACGCAUCACUGGUGUUCGGGUUGUCAUGCCAAUGGCACUGCCCGGUAGCUAAAUGCGGAAGAGAUAAGUGCUGAAAGCAUCUAAGCACGAAACUUGCCCCGAGAUGAGUUCUCCCUGAGACUUAGAGUCUCCUGAAGGAACGUUGAAGACGACGACGUUGAUAGGCCGGGUGUGUAAGCGCAGCGAUGCGUUGAGCUAACCGGUACUAAUGAACCGUGAGGCUUAACCUU
rnacentral:rRNA from 1 species